AGGUUCGAGGUGGAAGCGUAGCGAUACGUGGAGCUGACGAAUACUAAUCGAUCGAAGACUUAAUCAA
rnacentral:rRNA from 1 species